CCUACGGGGGGCAGCAGUAGGGAAUAUUGCUCAAUGGGGGAAACCCUGAAGCAGCAACGUCGCGUGGAGGAUGAAGGUUUUCGGAUUGUUAACUCCUUUUGUUAGAGAAGAUAAUGACGGUAUCUAACGAAUAAGCACCGGCUAACUCCGUGCCAGCAGCCGCGGUAAUACGGCGGGUGCCAGCGUUACUCGGAUUCACUGGGCGUAAAGCGCGCGUAGGCGGGUUAGCAAGUCAGAUGUGAAAUCCUAUGGCUUAACCAUAGAACUGCAUUUGAAACUGUUAUUCUAGAGUAUGGGAGAGGUAGGUGGAAUUCUUGGUGUAGGGGUAAAAUCCGUAGAGAUCAAGAGGAAUACUCAUUGCGAAGGCGACCUGCUAGAACAUAACUGACGCUGAUGCGCGAAAGCGUGGGGAGCAAACAGGAUUAGAUACCCCGGUAGUC
rnacentral:rRNA from 1 species